rnacentral:rRNA from 1 species
ACAUGAGUAGCGACAAAGAGUGUGAGAGACACUCUCGCCGAAAGUCCAAGGGUUCCUGCUUAAAGCUAAUCUGAGCAGGGUAAGCCGGCCCCUAAGCCGAGGCCGAAAGGCGUAGGCGAUGGGAACCACGUUAAUAUUCGUGGGCCAGAUGGAAGUGACGGAUCUCGAAGAUUGUUCCUCCUUAUCGGAUUGGAGGGGCCGUUCAGAGGUUCCUGGAAAUAGCUCCAUCAUCAGACCGUACCCUAAACCGACACAGGUGGACUGGUAGAGAAUACCAAGGCGCUUGAGAGAACUGCGUUGAAGGAACUCGGCAAAUUGCACGCGUAACUUCGGAAGAAGCGUGACCUGUAUUUACGCAAGUAGAUAUAGGUGGCACAGACCAGGGGGUAGCGACUGUUUAUCAAAAACACAGGGCUCUGCGAAGUCGCAAGACGACGUAUAGGGUCUGACGCCUGCCCGGUGCCUGAAGGUUAAAAGGAGGGGUGAGAGCUCUGAAUUGAAGCCCAGGUAAACGGCGGCCGUAACAAUAACGGUCCUAAGGUAGCGAAAUUCCUUGUCGGGUAAGUUCCGACCCGCACGAAAGGCGUAACGAUCAGGGUGCUGUCUCGGAGAGAGGCUCGGCGAAAUAGACAUGUCUGUGAAGAUGCGGACUACCUGCACCUGGACAGAAAGACCCUAUGAAGCUUUACUGUAUCUUGGAAUUGGGUUUGGGCCUUGCUUGCGCAGGAUAGGUGGGAGGCUUUGAAGACAUUCUUGCGGGAAUGUUGGAGCCAAUGGUGAGAUACCACUCUAGCAUGGCUAAAAUUCUAACUUUGAACCGUUAUCCGGUCGAAGAACAGUUUCAGGUGGGCAGUUUGACUGGGGCGGUCGCCUCCCAAAUCGUAACGGAGGCGCGCGAAGGUAGGCUCAGACCGGUUGGAAAUCGGUCGUUGAGUGCAAAGGCAUAAGCCUGCCUGACUGCGAGACUGACAAGUCGAGCAGAGACGAAAG